GUCCACAUAGCCUGGAUCAGCUCAACUUAGCAACAGAUCAUUUGUGACCCCAGAAACGAAGCUAUUCUCAUCAAGGAACGUUUGUGGACUAUUCUUUAGAUGGAAGGAGGACAUCAAAGUCUACAGUCCAUUCUAUCCAGGUUGUAUCAGAUUGCACUGAACAAAAGACGGAGCAUUCCCAAGCUAUAGCAGUCAUUCUUGAAUUGAUGUGGGUCUUAUAAAUGUCUCAAAAUACAGCAAGUAUAUGAGAUAGAGAGCAGAGAAGUCUGGAAGUGAUUGAAAAAUGAAGAAGCAGUGUCCAUUGUAUUAACAUAUACCCACCGAUGUGGUGCUCUAAGAUUUAUGACCAAAUCAUGACUGAAUGAUGCUGAAAGAUUGAAGAAUCUGUAACAGGGGAACUAGAUACUGCAUGCAUGUGUUUCAGGAAGGAACACCAUGAUGAAUAUUGUGGGUAUUACAUUUCUAAACAUU